GAUGAGCCUGUCCUGGAGGGCCAUCCGGUACGGCUAAGCUGAUUUUUCAUUAUGGGGUCAGAAAGGCUUUGUGGUUGCAGUACGAGAAGCAAGAUAGGCUAUCCAUAUCGUCAUCUUGUUCAAUGUGUUUGCAGCCUCAGAUCAGGAUGCGAGUGUCCCAGCUGAGAAAGUGACUGAUCUGCAAGUUGGCAUGCCGGUAUUUGACUGGUACUACACAGCCAUGGGGGUUGUCCCAGGUGAGAAAUAUGGCUGGUACUACACAGCCAUAAGAUAUCUUACCAUCCGGUACAACUGAUUACUCAUCUUUUUCGCCCCCUUUACCGUCUGGUACAAUUUCUUUUUUUGAAAGCGAACACCCCACAGGCAUACGUACAUGUCUAUUAGUAGGGGAAUACAGUAUGCAGAGGAUACAGGAGGACAGAGAUGUCCUAGAACAAAAACGAAAAGGAUCCUCACUAAACACAAAAAACCUGAGAAGACCCUCAGAACCUUCUCGCUCGACGCCGCAAUUAGCAUCUGGUACAGUUGGCUACUCAGCAUUUUCGCCUCUCCGCAUCCGAUAGAAUUGGCUAAUCAGCUUUCUCGCCUCCCUUGAAACCGUAAACACACCUGCUCUUGUACAUGCGGGGACAAUAUUGCUCGUUUCACCACUCCUUACUGCUGCUAAAUAAUUCCUGUGCCUUUCAAGCCUAAACAACUCAUAUAGAUGCAACAUUAAGUCUACACAACUCAUUUAGAUGCAACAUGCUCUCUACUCUACAAAUCUAUGGGUGAUCUCCGGUUUAUCAUUACUCAGAGGAAUCAGAACAGGAGGCUGGAGAGGGAGCUAUAUUUAUUUGUUGGGAAUUGGUGACACGAAGAUGCCUUUUGCUGGCUCACUGCGUUGCAUAUUUAUCGCGUGCAGUGCAAUACUCUUCUCUAGUUUGUUUUGAUUUGCUUUCUUCUCCUUUGUGCAUGCUGGACUAUAUAUAUUGUGGCGGUGGGUAGCUAUCACUGUCCGUGUGUAAACGCCCUUGGAUUCAAGUACAAAGUUCAAAUUGGGGUCAUUUCUUAUAUAUUAAAUAGCAAUGCACAUGUUUCCUACUACCCAUUAUUGUCAGGGUAAAAUUUGUAAUAAGAUAUUUGCAAUAAGGUUUUGGAAGUGAACUGAAUAUCUCAAACGGAUUAUCACUUGCUCAAGAUGUAUUUUUUUUUUGACGCAAACUUGCUCAAGAUGUAGAUAACAAGGUCUUUUUUUUAAUGUGAAUAGCAUGCGCUUUACUUUUGCAUUAAAAAGAAAAGAAACAGUUACAGAACAACAGAAACAAAAAAAAGGACAUCUAGAAAAGAAAAGGACCGAAUACGGCCAGGCACUUCGGUUGUAGCCUCAAAAGCCUCCUUCGUGGGGACAAGGCCAGGUUGAUCCUGACCUUUGGUCUCAAAAGAACCCUUUUAUUUCCAUCGAAGAUCCUCCGAUUCACAUCACAUGAACUGCAAAUUAACCCUGAGCUAGCAAGUGCCAAGGGCCACCAUAGCUAGAAAUCAACCCUG
rnacentral:lncRNA from 1 species